UAAAAAGUUUGUAAAGGGCGUAUGGUGGAUGCCUAGGCUCUCAGAGGCGAAGAAGGACGUGAUAAGUCGCGAAAAGUUGCGGGGAUCAGCACAUGUGAAAUGAUCCGCAAAUCUCCGAAUGGGGCAACCUGGCAUAUUGAAGAUAUGUCAUGAUGGAUUUAUUCAUCAAGCAAACCUAGUGAACUGAAACAUCUAAGUAACUAGAGGAAGAGAAAACAACAGUGAUUUUGCUAGUAGCGGCGAGCGAACGUGAAACAGCCCAAACCAAUAUUGUUUCGGCAAUAUUGGGGUAGUAGGACUACAACAUUUCUGUGCAUUAUAACUAGAACAAUUUGGAAAGAUUUACCAUAGCGGGUGAUAGUCCCUUAUAGGUAGUUAGUGUAUAGGAUAGUAGUAUCCUGAGUAGCGCGGGGCACGAGGAAUCUUGCGUGAAUCAGCCGGACCAUCCGGUAAGGCUAAAUACUCCUGAGAGACCGAUAGUGGACUAGCACCGUGAGGGAAAGGUGAAAGAACCUUGAAUAAAGGAGUGAAAUAGAACCUGAAACCAUACGCUUACAAGCGGUCGGAGUAUUGACGAUUGUGUCAGUAUGACGGCGUGCCUUUUGCAUAAUGAGCCUACGAGUUAUUGUUAAUGGUAAGGCUAAGUAAUUCAGUUACGGAUCCGUAGCGAAAGCGAGUUUUAACAGGGCGAUUAUAGUCAUUAACAAUAGACGCGAAACCGUGUGAUCUACCCUUGGGCAGGUUGAAGCUUUGCUAAUCCAAAGUGGAGGACCGCACCCGUUGACGUUGAAAAGUCUUGGGAUGACCUGAGGGUAGGGGUGAAGUACCAAUCAAACACGGAAAUAGCUCGUACUCCCGAAAUGCAUUUAGGUGCGACGAUUAAAUAGUUUUAUAGAGGUAGAGCUACUGAUUGGAUGCGGGGGCUUCACCGCCUACCAAUUCCUGACAAACUCCGAAUGCUAUAAAAUAUUUUUAAUCAGUGAGGGCAUGGGUGCUAAGGUCCAUGUCCGAGAGGGAAAGAACCCAGACCAUCAGCUAAGGUCCCCAAAUAUAUACUAAGUUGACCAAACGAGGUUGAACUGCUUAGACAGCUAGGAUGUUGGCUUGGAAGCGACCAUUCAUUUAAAGAGUGCGUAACAGCUCACUAGCCGAGCGGUUCGGCAUGGAUAAUAAUCGGGCAUAAGUAUAUUACCGAAGCUAUGGUACUGACAAAGAUUACUUUCGUCAGUAGGUAGGGGAGCAUUGUAAUUUGGGUAGAAGAUAAUCUGUAAGGGUUGUUGGACUAAUUACAAAAGAAAAUGUAGGCAUAAGUAACGAUAAUGCGGGCGAGAAACCCGCACACCGAAAGACCAAGGAUUCCUCAGCUAUGCUAAUCAGCUGAGGGUUAGUCGGGACCUAAGGCGCACCCGAAAGGGGAAGUCGAUGGACAAGCAGUUAAUAUUCUGCUACUUGCUUUAAGUUAAACGAGACGGUGUAUAGGAGUUAGUGCCUCCUGACGGAAUAGGAGGUUGAAUCACAAGAGAUUGUGAGAUAGUACAACAAAGCUUCGGUGGCGUUGAUAAUCUAGCGUAUAUACAUCCAAGAAAAUCAAUUAAAGCAACCCGUACCGUAAACCGACACAGGUAGUUGGGAUGAGAAUUCUAAGGUGCUCGAGAGAUUCAUGGCUAAGGAACUAGGCAAAAUAGACCCGUAACUUCGGGAGAAGGGUCUCCUGAGUGUGCUUGCACACGUCAGGACGCAGUGAAGAGGUCCAGGCGACUGUUUAUCAAAAACACAGGGCUCUGCUAAAUCGAGAGAUGCAGUAUAGGGCCUGACACCUGCCCGGUGCUGGAAGGUUAAGAGGAGGUGUUAUCCGCCUUAGGCGGAGAAGCGCUGAAUUGAAGCCCCAGUAAACGGUAGUAACUAUAACGGUCCUAAGGUAGCGAAAUUCCUUGUCGGGUAAGUUCCGACCUGCACGAAUGGUGCAACGAUCUGGACACUGUCUCAGCCAUGAGCUCGGUGAAAUUGUAGUAUCGGUGAAGAUGCCGAUUACCCGCUGUGGGACGAAAAGACCCCGUGAACCUUUACUAUAGUUUAGUAUUGACUUUGGAUAAGUGAUGUGUAGGAUAGGUGGGAGACAAAGAAGCGGCGUCGCCAGGCGCAGUGGAGUCAUUGUUGAAAUACCACCCUUUACUUGUUUGAAGCCUAAUCCAGACGAUACAGUCAGGAGACAUUACUUGAUGGGUAGUUUGACUGGGGUGGUCGCCUCCAAAAGAGUAACGGAGGCUUCUAAAGGUUCCCUCAGCACGCUUGGUAACCGUGCGUAGAGUGUAAUGGCAUAAGGGAGCUUGACUGAGAGACCUACAAGUCGAUCAGGUACGAAAGUAGAGCAUAGUGAUCCGGUGGUUUCCGAAUGGAAGGGCCAUCGCUCAAAGGAUAAAAGGUACUCCGGGGAUAACAGGCUGAUCUCCCCCAAGAGCUCACAUCGACGGGGGGGUUUGGCACCUCGAUGUCGGCUCGUCACAUCCUGGGGCUGGAGAAGGUCCCAAGGGUUGGGCUGUUCGCCCAUUAAAGUGGCACGCGAGCUGGGUUCAGAACGUCGUGAGACAGUUCGGUCUCUAUCUACAGUGGGCGCAAGAAAUUUGAGUGGAUCUGACUCUAGUACGAGAGGACCGAGUUGGACAAACCUCUAGUGUAUCUGUUGUCACGCCAGUGGCAUAGCAGAGUAGCUACGUUUGGAGUGGAUAAGCGCUGAAAGCAUAUAAGCACGAAACCCACCACAAGAUGAGAUUUCUUUUAAGGAUCCCUAAAGACGAUAGGGUAGAUAGGCUACAGGUGUAAAGGCAGUAAUGUCAUAGCCGAGUAGUACUAAUCAUCCGUUAAACUUUUUGAU
rnacentral:rRNA from 1 species